AUGAGCAGCAGCAACAACGGCGGCAACAAUAGCACUGCCGGCCGCGGCACGACCGCGACACCGCCGAGGCCGCACUGGAGGACAAGGGACCCUACCGCCACCGUCGUCUACGUCGUGCCACCUUCCCAGUUCCGCAGCGUCGUGCAGCAACUCACCGGCGCCGCGUCGCCCAACACGGCCACAUCCGACGCUCAACGUUACAUUGUUGCGCCCUGCGUCGUCCUCGCCAACGCGGGCCAUGCGGCGGUUUGGAGUCGUGCUGAAGGUGGUGGCGGCGAGGGGGCAAGUCGUGGUACCGGUGGUGACAGGACGACGACAACGACGAUGAGACAGAUGUUGGAGGAGUGCAUGGCUUGGGCUUCCGACGACCAUGACGAAAACUAG
rnacentral:rRNA from 1 species